rnacentral:rRNA from 1 species
GUGGGGAAUAUUGGACAAUGGGGGCAACCCUGAUCCAGCAAUGCCGCGUGAGUGAUGAAGGCCUUCGGGUUGUAAAGCUCUUUUGCCAGGGACGAUGAUGACGGUACCUGGAGAAUAAGCCCCGGCUAACUUCGUGCCAGCAGCCGCGGUAAUACGAAGGGGGCAAGCGUUGUUCGGAAUUACUGGGCGUAAAGGGCGCGUAGGCGGCCGAUCAAGUCAGGCGUGAAAUUCCCGGGCUCAACCUGGGGGCUGCGUUUGAUACUGAUUGGCUUGAAUGCGGGAGAGGAUAGUGGAAUUCCCAGUGUAGAGGUGAAAUUCGUAGAUAUUGGGAAGAACACCAGUGGCGAAGGCGGCUAUCUGGCCCGUUAUUGACGCUGAGGCGCGAAAGCGUGGGGAGCAAACAGGAUUAGAAACCCGGGUAGUCC